rnacentral:rRNA from 1 species
UACGGAGGGUGCAAGCGUUAUCCGGAUUUACUGGGUUUAAAGGGUGCGUAGGUGGGUAAGUAAGUCAGUGGUGAAAUCUUCGAGCUUAACUCGGAAACUGCCAUUGAUACUAUUUAUCUUGAAUACUUUGGAGGUAAGCGGAAUAUGUCAUGUAGCAGUGAAAUGCUUAGAUAUGACAUAGAACACCAAUUGCGAAGGCAGCUUACUACACAGUUAUUGACACUGAGGCACGAAAGCGUGGGGAUCAAACAGG